AUUGAACGCUGGCGGCAGGCCUAACACAUGCAAGUCGAACGAGUGGCGGACGGGUGAGUAAUGUCUGGGAAACUGCCUGAUGGAGGGGGAUAACUACUGGAAACGGUAGCUAAUACCGCAUACCAUCGGAUGUGCCCAGAUGGGAUUAGCUAGUAGGUGGGGUAAAGGCUCACCUAGGCGACGAUCCCUGGCUGGUCUGAGGGGAUGACCAGCCACACUGGAACUUAGACACGGUCCGAACUCCUACGGGGGGAAGCAGGGGGGAAUAUUGCACAAUGGGCGAAAGCCUGUUGCAGCCAUGCCGCGGGAAUGAAGAAGGCCUUCGGGUUGAACAGUACUUUCAGCGGGGAGGCGUUACCCGAAGAGGAGGCACCGGCUAACUCCGGGCCAGCGCCGCGGUAAUAC
rnacentral:rRNA from 1 species